AUUGAACGCUGGCGGCAUGCUUUACACAUGCAAGUCGAACGGCAGCACGGGUGCUUGCACCUGGUGGCGAGUGGCGGACGGGUGAGUAAUACAUCGGAACGUGUCCAGAAGAGGGGGAUAACGCAUCGAAAGAUAUGCUAAUACCGCAUAUGCUCUGAGGAGGAAAGUGGGGGAUCGAAAGACCUUACGCUUUUGGAGCGGCCGAUGUCUGAUUAGCUAGUUGGUGGGGUAAGGGCCUACCAAGGCGACGAUCAGUAGUUGGUCUGAGAGGACGACCAGCCACACUGGGACUGAGACACGGCCCAGACUCCUACGGGAGGCAGCAGUGGGGGAAUUUUGGACAAUGGGCGCAAGCCUGAUCCAGCAAUGCCGCGUGCGGGACGAAGGCCUC
rnacentral:rRNA from 1 species